UUCACUAAACCCUGUAAGUCCCUCUGGAUAAGAGUGUCUGCUAAAUGACGUAAA
rfam:Salmo salar isolate Sally breed double haploid chromosome ssa14, whole genome shotgun sequence.